rnacentral:rRNA from 1 species
CCUACGGGAGGCUGCAGUAGGGAAUCUUCCACAAUGGACGAAAGUCUGAUGGAGCAACGCCGCGUGAGUGAAGAAGGGUUUCGGCUCGUAAAGCUCUGUUGGUAGUGAAGAAAGAUAGAGGUAGUAACUGGCCUUUAUUUGACGGUAAUUACUUAGAAAGUCACGGCUAACUACGUGCCAGCAGCCGCGGUAAUACGUAGGUGGCAAGCGUUGUCCGGAUUUAUUGGGCGUAAAGCGAGUGCAGGCGGUUCAAUAAGUCUGAUGUGAAAGCCUUCGGCUCAACCGGAGAAUUGCAUCAGAAACUGUUGAACUGGAGUGCAGAAGAGGAGAGUGGAACGCCAUGUGUAGCGGUGGAAUGCGUAGAUAUAUGGAAGAACACCAGUGGCGAAGGCGGCUCUCUGGUCUGCAACUGACGCUGAGGCUCGAAAGCAUGGGUAGCGAACAGGAUUAGAUACCCUAGUAGUC